rnacentral:miRNA from 1 species
GGAAAUUGAUUAGAAAACGUC